GGCCACCAGCACGAGUCGUCCGUGCUUGAAUCCAGCAAGAUCCGGCCGCGGGAAACCCAUCCCCGCCGCUCCCGCGCUGCAUGUGCAAUGCCUCCCCCUCGGAGUUUGCCUCCAGCGCAGCCACAAGCCAUCUCCUGCCUCUGCCCUCGGGGAGGUCUGCAGCAACGGUGUCCUCUGGUGCACGUGGAGGUCUCCGUGGAGGUGGAAAUUCAAUUCGACCUCACCUCAGGCUUCUGGCCUCCUCGAGCUCCUGCUACACAAGGCCUCCCGAAGCUCCUGCAAGCCUCCUCCCCGGUGCUCCAGUGGUAAUCUGAAGCCGGCGUGGUGGAUGUGGUCGGACAUGGCAAGCGGCUGUGAUCUAUCGAUGGUAAGUUCGGCACCACGCUCCGUUGUUGCACCCGCAUUUCCGGCAGUUCCGCAAGCUAUUGCUUCUCCGACUGAGGUAUCCCUCCCCACACAUCCCUAAGGCGUCCACCCAUCUGCUAAUGCCCUCAUGUCAUCGGGUGUGAUUACCCUUUUUUUUGGACGAAGGCAGCAGAACUAGAUGAAUAUACCAACAGAAUAUUUACCAAAUCUGAAGGUGCAACAAUUGAUCUACUCAUCUUUGCCCUGAUUUGAAUAAUUGUCAGUGUGUGAACAUGUUACUUAGCAUCUUUUCCAAUGUAUGCGAUGUGUUCAGCUAGAGAAAUUUUGAAGCAGUUAAGAUGGGUUCAUGUCAUCGGGUGUGAUUACCCUUUUUUCUGGAUGAAGGCAACAGAACUAGAUGAAUAUACCAACAGAAUAUUUUAUCAAAUCUGAAGGUGCUACAAUUGAUCUACUCAUUUUUGCCCUGAUUUGAAUAAUUGUCAGUGUGUGAACACGUUACUUAGCAUCUUUUCCAAUGUAUGCGAUGGGUUCAGCUAGAGAAAUUUUGAAGCAGUUAAGGUGGGAUUUGUAUCAUAUCCUGCUGCUGUGUGUGAUGUUCUUUACUCUGCUUGUGGCAAUUUUGUACAGGGAGAUAUGGUUUGGAUUAGUUAUGUGAUGUUCUGUCAUGUUUUUUGCGCUCCUUCUUAAGAGAGAAAAUUUUAGAUAUGUGUACUGAUUAUUGGUACCGGCACUGAUCGUAUUUAUUGUCAUCUGUUCCAGGUUAAUCAUCUAGGGAAAGUAACACUUGAUCAUAGGAUAAUAAGUUAGUAGAUGUAUGUAAAGUUAUGUAGCUUCAUCAAAGAUAUGUCAGUUUUUAGAUGUUGGUCAGUACAACGUGCUCCCUGUAAGUUUCUCCUACUUGCCUAUUUGUACAAGGAAAUUACUUUAAAGGUAUUUCUGUGCCUGUUCGACACACUGAAUUUUUUAUUGAGUGCAGCUAGGAGAUUCCGACGACAGCGGCGGAUUUUGUGUCAGCACGCUGCGAGGAGCUGCUGACAGUGACCCAUGGUGGUGGAUCAGAGUUGGAAUUCAAGAGGGUUGGUGUGGUUGGAGUUAACUGAUGAUUGGGCUAGAACGGAGCAACAGAGGAGGCCGGCCAAGGACAUGGCCGCGGAUAACACAUCUUGCUCGGUUUCCCUGACGACCCAAGGCGGCCGUGUAGCCAUCUCAGAUGGAGUCCGACGAGAAGGACCAAAAGGAGGUGCUGGCAGGUUAAAUAUUUGACAUCCUAUGUUUGGUAAUGAGAGCAAUGCAAUAUUUUAAAGGGGCACACAUGUAAGGGAAACUGGUAUAUGUCUACCUGUCAAGCUGGAAACAACAAUUUGCAUUAUGAACUACGAGCUCCGAAUAAAUUGCUUUUCUCUUUCCUUCAAGUUGUCAUCUUAUUUCAGGAUUGGCAUCACCGAUAAAGCGGAGGUUUUUUUCCAUUCAAUCAAAUUAUAAAUUCCAAAUUUGUUACCCGUGUCUAUAAGUAUUGUACUUUUUUGUUAGAAUGUUGUUUGCCAUUUAUAUUAAUUGCCAUUCUUAUCCACUUCCUCUAAUUGUAGCUCUUUGUGUGAAUCAUUUAGUUCAGCACCAGUUAGAUUUUUAAAAUUAAUUGAUGAAUUGAUAAUUUGGUACAACAUGGAGAUUGACCUCAUUGGUAUAUAAUAUUC